GCGCGAUUGGCGCCAUAGUCGCGUGGCAACUAAGCAAGGGGGAGGUUAGGUUAAGCAAGAUGGCGGGCGAAAUGGUUAUACGAAGAUGUACUUACAUUUGCAUUUCUCCAACACUUUCAGGUGCGAUUCGUUCCUCUUCUAUAUUAAGAGAAGCCGUCACUCACGGAUCUAGAACGCAAUGAUCGUAAGAAAAAUGGACCUAGAUGUUUCGCCACCGAUCCUGACCGGUUUCUUCGACGUCAAAAGCAGUGCGCACGUACGAUUGAAUCUUCUUAAUCGUGAACGAAACUCGCACAUUGUAUUCUAUCUAUGUCUGCUACAUAUACAAGAUUUCAUAUGAUGAUAUCGCGUUAUCAUCUUGUAUGAUAAUAUAAACCAACAUGGAAGAAUCUUAUGUGCCACUUCAAAAUAAGAAUCUUAAAAUGAGAAUGUGAAAAUUUGGAAGGAGUGUGAUUUUACGACGAGCACAUGUCGACAUCGUCGAUCGUAAGGCUCGUGAAUGUCAGGGAGACAGAAGAACGCAGAUUGCUAGAGGCACUGUUCCGCUGACCUACUCCACGAUUAUCACUCACUACAGUCGAUCGCAUCGUUGUACAGCGUCGUACAGCAGGUGCGUGUGCGUUAACUAGCCUUGUGCCAACUAUACGUGUAUAUAUUUAUGUAUAUACACACGUAUAUACGUAUGUAUAUGUUACCAUGCUCAGAGAAAAGGAGGACGCGCUCCGCGGGGACGUAAUCAAAUAAACGGAGCCAUUUUAUUCAACCAUAGUUGUUGAAUUCUCUCCUUUCUCAUUCUCCUUCUUCAUUCUCAUAUUUGGACGUGAUUCAGGAAUACGUAUAUUUCGUACGUAAUAACAAGUAUUUACUUUAGCGCGAUUAACACGAUAAAAUUCAAUAAACAUCGUCAUGUAAUAAUCACACUUUUUCUUUUGAUUUUUAGUCGAUCGAAAAAAAUU